rnacentral:rRNA from 1 species
AGAGUUUGAUUCUGGCUCAGAUUGAACGCUGGCGGCGUGCUUAACACAUGCAAGUCGAACGUGAAAGUCCUUCGGGACGAGUAAAGUGGCGCACGGGUGAGUAACGCGUGGAUAAUCUACCCUUAAGAUGGGGAUAACGGCUGGAAACGGUCGCUAAUACCGAAUACGCUCCCGAUUUUAUCAUUGGGGGGAAAGAUGGCCUCUGCUUGCAAGCUAUCGCUUAAGGAUGAGUCCGCGUCCCAUUAGCUAGUUGGCGGGGUAACGGCCCACCAAGGCAACGAUGGGUAGCCGGUCUGAGAGGAUGACCGGCCACACUGGAACUGGAACACGGUCCAGACUCCUACGGGAGGCAGCAGUGGGGAAUAUUGCGCAAUGGGCGAAAGCCUGACGCAGCGACGCCGCGUGAGGGAUGAAGGUUCUCGGAUCGUAAACCUCUGUCAGGGGGGAAGAAACCCCCUCGUGUGAAUAAUGCGAGGGCUUGACGGUACCCCCAAAGGAAGCACCGGCUAACUCCGUGCCAGCAGCCGCGGUAAUACGGAGGGUGCAAGCGUUAAUCGGAAUCACUGGGCGUAAAGCGCACGUAGGCGGCUUGGUAAGUCAGGGGUGAAAUCCCACAGCCCAACUGUGGAACUGCCUUUGAUACUGCCAGGCUUGAGUACCGGAGAGGGUGGCGGAAUUCCAGGUGUAGGAGUGAAAUCCGUAGAUAUCUGGAGGAACACCGGUGGCGAAGGCGGCCACCUGGACGGUAACUGACGCUGAGGUGCGAAAGCGUGGGUAGCAAACAGGAUUAGAUACCCUGGUAGUCCACGCUGUAAACGAUGGGUGCUGGGUGCUGGGAUGUAUGUCUCGGUGCCGUAGCUAACGCGAUAAGCACCCCGCCUGGGGAGUACGGUCGCAAGGCUGAAACUCAAAGAAAUUGACGGGGGCCCG